rnacentral:tRNA from 1 species
GAAAGUAUGGCUCAGCAGUAGAGCAUCUGCCUAGCAAGCACAAGACUCUGAGUUCAAAAUCCAGUAGUAUAA